UGGCUGUGCUUCCGGUUCCUCGGG
rnacentral:piRNA from 1 species